rnacentral:snRNA from 11 species
AGCUUUGCNCACUGACAGUAUUGUAGCCAAUGAGAUUUAUCCAAGGUGCAAUUAUUGCUAAUUAAAAAUUUGACAUGUAGGAAUAGUUACUUUUACAGUUACGUGUUGUCCAUGUAAUGACAUAUAACAAAAAUGGGUAGUGUUUUUANGGUACUUGCUGAAAUUUGUAUAAAAAC